UAUCGUCAAUACUAUUAUUAUCACCACUUGACCACAAUUGUCAACCACCACCAUCACUAUUAUCAUCAUUGUUAUCACGUUACUUAACCAUUAUUGUCACCACUUAAUUAUCUUCACAUCUUUCACCACUUGGCCACUAUUACUACCACUACCUUACCUUACCACCACCACUAUGGCAUUAUCACUUGACUACCGUUUACUUUAACUAUUAUUACUUAAUAUUAAUAUUAUAAAUAAAUUAAA
rnacentral:misc_RNA from 1 species